rnacentral:rRNA from 1 species
GACGAGCGCUGGCGGCGUGCCUAACACAUGCAAGUCGAACGGGGUAAUGACUUCGGUUAUUACUUAGUGGCGAACGGGUGAGUAACGCGUGAGAAACCUGACUUUCAGUGGGGACGAACAGUUGGAAACGACUGCUAAUACCGCAUAAUGUUAUUUGGGGGCGAUCCCUGGAUAACCAAAGAUUUAUUGCUGAAAGAUGGUCUCGCGUCUGAUUAGCUAGAUGGCGGGGUAACGGCCCACCAUGGCGACGAUCAGUAGCCGGUCUGAGAGGAUGAACGGCCACAUUGGGACUGAGAUACGGCCCAG